AGGACGAACGCUGGCGGCGUGCUUAACACAUGCAAGUCGAGCGGAAAGGCCCUUCGGGGUACUCGAGCGGCGAACGGGUGAGUAACACGUGAGUAAUCUGCCCCUAGCUCUGGGAUAGCUCCGGGAAACCGGGAUUAAUACCAGAUACGACCACUUUAGACAUCUUCUGUGGUGGAAAGAACUUCGGCUAGGGAUGAACUCGCGGCCUAUCAGCUUGUUGGUGAGGUAACGGCUCACCAAGGCGACGACGGGUAGCCGGCCUGAGAGGGCGACCGGCCACACUGGGACUGAGACACGGCCCAGACUCCUACGGGAGGCAGCAGUGGGGAAUAUUGCGCAAUGGGCGAAAGCCUGACGCAGCGACGCCGCGUGGGGAUGAAGGCCUUCGGGUUGUAACCCCUUUCAGCAGGGACGAAGCGAAAGUGACGGUACCUGCAGAAGAGCGCCGGCUAACUACGUGCCAGCAGCCGC
rnacentral:rRNA from 1 species